GACGAACGCUGGCGGCGUGCCUAAUACAUGCAAGUCGAACGCAGUGGGGACGGGUCAGUAACACGUUGGUAACCUCCCAUCAGAGGGGAUAACACUUGGAAACAGGUGCUAACCCGCUACUGAUGGAUGGAACUGCGGUGAAUUUGCUAGUUGGUGUGGUAACGGCUCACCAAGGCCACGAUGCAUAGCGUACCUGAGAGGGUGAGCAGCCACACUGGGACUGAGACACGGCCCAGACUCCUACGGUAGGUAGCAGUAGGGAAUCUUCGGCAAUGGGCGAAAGUCUGACCGAGCAACGCGGCGUGGGUUAAGAAGGUUUUCGGAUCGUUAAACUCUGUUGUUAGAUAGGCGGUAUCUAACCAGAAAGCCACGGCUAACUACGUGCCAGCAGCCGCGGUAAUUC
rnacentral:rRNA from 1 species